rnacentral:rRNA from 1 species
GACGAACGCUGGCGGCGUGCUUAGCACAUGCAAAUCGAACGGAAAGGCCCUGCUUUUGUGGGGUGCUCGAGUGGCGAACGGGUGAGUAACACGUGAGUAACCUGCCCUUGACUUUGGGAUAACUUCAGGAAACUGGGGCUAAUACCGGAUAGGAGCUCCUGCUGCAUGGUGGGGGUUGGAAAGUUUCGGCGGUUGGGGAUGGACUCGCGGCUUAUCAGCUUGUUGGUGGGGUAGUGGCUUACCAAGGCUUUGACGGGUAGCCGGCCUGAGAGGGUGACCGGCCACAUUGGGACUGAGAUACGGCCCAGACUCCUACGGGAGGCAGCAGUGGGGAAUAUUGCACAAUGGGCGGAAGCCUGAUGCAGCAACGCCGCGUGCGGGAUGACGGCCUUCGGGUUGUAAACCGCUUUCGCCUGUGACGAAGCGUGAGUGACGGUAAUGGGUAAAGAAGCACCGGCUAACUACGUG